UGGUCACGAGCUCAUAUGAGCUCGUUAUCUAGGUCGUCGAUAAGCUUCUCUGGAUCUGCGCUAUUUUCCUGUACCCGCGUGUGCGGUGCUCCAGAAAUAGAGAACUGUAGGUAAAUAUGUAGGCUGCAAUGGUGGGUGGUGGGCCAUUGCGACGGGGCAGAGCAGACGGCCGUCAGUCGUCGGGGAGCCGAGCCGUGGAUCAGAAUAGGCGUUCCCGUCUGAUCCAUGGACCGGAAAGUUCGCUUUUCCGUCUAAUGGUUGCAGACCGGAAUUGAAUGCAGGAUCGAGUCAUUUCGAAGCUGAGGACUACGGGAUAGAGGGAAGGAGCGCCGGCAGCGAUACACCACGGAGUUUCUGAUGCAGCCCAUUGGCAGAUCCACUCUGCUUGAAGAGGCAGGGGAAAGUUUGGUGCCGGAUCCUGCAGCUCUGGGGUGGGGGAUUUUGAGGUGGAGGCACAAAUCUUCUUGGGGAAGAAGACGGCGGCAGAUAGAAGAGAGAGUUCGCCGCUGAUAUCCGAGUUAGCCCCCAAGCCCUGGGGUGGAACAAGAAGUUAGUCAUUAACAACCUGCAUUCCAUUAGAGAUUCAGUCGUUUAGGAAAUUAAAAUAGAAAUGACCAAAUAAAUCAUGUAUAUGUCAGUCUGAUUCAGAAAAUGAAACUAGAGAUUUAGAAAAUUCAUGUUGUAUGUGCGUGUGUUUGUAGGCUGACUGCUGUCUGCAUUUAGAAAAUUCAUGCUAUAUGUGAUGUGUUUGGCGGGCUGAUUGCUCUCUGUAGUCAGAGAAAUUAAAGAUUUAUGUGCUGCUAUUUGCAGGCUGUUUGCUCUCCUCAUUCAUAAAAUUCAUACUA